UACAGAGGUCUCAAGCGUUGUUCGGAAUCACUGGGCGUAAAGGGUGCGUAGGCGGCGGGGAAAGUCAGAUGUGAAAUCCGGAGGCUCAACCUCCGAAUAGCCUCCGAUACUCCCUCGCUAGAGAUUUGUAGAGGAGCUUGGAAUUCUCGGUGUAGCAGUGAAAUGCGUAGAUAUCGAGAAGAACGCUCGCAGCGAAAGCGAAGCUCUGGGCAAAUUCUGACGCUGAUGCACGAAGGCUAGGGGAGCAAACGGG
rnacentral:rRNA from 1 species